rnacentral:tRNA from 1 species
AAAGAGAUAAAGAUAAUAAUCUAACUUAGCUUCUAACUAAGAAAAGGUAAAUAUAAAACCAUCUCUUUA